rnacentral:rRNA from 1 species
AGUGAACGCUGGCGGUAGGCCUAACACAUGCAAGUCGAACGGCAGCACAGUAAGAGCUUGCCCUUACGGGAGGCGAGUGGCGGACGGGUGAGGAAUACAUCGGAAUCUACUUUUUCGUGGGGGAUACCGUAGGGAAAAUUACGCUAAUACCGCAUACGACCUACGGGUGAAAGCAGGCGAUCUUCGGACCUUGUGCGAUUGCAUGCGCCGAUGUCGGAUUAGCUAGGUGGCGGGGCAAAGGCCCACCAAGGCGGCGAUCCGUAGCCGGUCGGAGAGGAUGGUUGGCCACCCUGGAAGUGAGACCGGGUCCAGAGGCCUACGGGAGGGAGCAGGAGGGAAUGUGGGACAAGGGGGGGGAGUCUGACCCAACCGGACCGAGUGGGGGAAGAAGGCCUUCGGGUUGUAAAGCCCGUUUGUGGGGAGAAAAAAGCAGCCACUAAGUACGCCGCUUUAGUGACGGUACCUAAAGAAGAAGCACCGGCUAACUACGUG